GCCCGUGUAGUUCAGCGGCAGAAUAUUUCCCUCCUACGUUGCGUUCUUUAGAAUACAGUAGUUUCAGGAAGAGGUCUUGGGUUCAAUCCCCAACUCGGGUA